rnacentral:rRNA from 1 species
GACGGAGCAACGCCGCGUGAGUGAUGAAGGCCUUCGGGUUGUAAAACUCUGUCUUCUGUGAAGAACCAUCCUGUGCAGAGAAAGCUCAGGACCUGACGGUAACAGAGGAGGAAGCCCCGGCUAACUACGUGCCAGCAGCCGCGGUAAUACGUAGGGGGCAAGCGUUGUCCGGAUUCACUGGGCGUAAAGCGCGCGCAGGCGGUUUCUCACGUCCGGGGUGAAAGCCCAGAGCUCAACUCUGGGAUUGCCUUGGAUACGGGGAGACUUGAGGAUCGGAGAGGCAAGGGGAAUUCCACGUGUAGCGGUGAAAUGCGUAGAGAUGUGGAGGAACACCUGUGGCGAAGGCGCCUUGCUGGCCGAUUUCUGACGCUGAGGCGCGAAAGCGUGG